CAUAACGUCUACGGACCAAACGGGGCUUAGGCUCCGGCGCAAAGAGAGGCCCAAGUGAGAUUAGCUAGUUGGUGGGGUAAAGGCUCACCAAGGCAACGAUCUCUAGCUGUUCUGAGAGGAAGAUCAGCCACACUGGAACUGAGACACGGUCCAGACUCCUACGGGAGGCAGCAGUGGGGAAUAUUGCACAAUGGGGGAAACCCUGAUGCAGCCAUGCCGCGUGUGUGAAGAAGGCCUUCGGGUUGUAAAGCACUUUCAGUUGUGAGGAAAAGUUAGUAGUUAAUACCUGCUAGCCAUGACGUUAGCAACAGAAGAAGCACCGGCUAACUCCGUGCCAGCAGCCGCGGUAAUACGGAGGGUGCGAGCGUUAAUCGGAAUUACUGGGCGUAAAGCGCACGCAGGCGGUUUGUUAAGCUAGAUGUGAAAGCCCCGGGCUCAACCUGGGACGGUCAUUUAGAACUGGCAGACUAGAGUCUUGGAGAGGGGAGUGGAAUUCCAGGUGUAGCGGUGAAAUGCGUAGAGAUCUGGAGGAACAUCAGUGGCGAAGGCGACUCCCUGGCCAAAGACUGACGCUCAUGUGCGAAAGUGUGGGUAGCGAACAGGAUUAGAUACCCUGGUAGUCCACACCGUAAACGCUGUCUACUAGCUGUUUGUGGCUUUAAGCCGUGAGUAGCGAAGCUAACGCGAUAAGUAGACCGCC
rnacentral:rRNA from 1 species